CCCUUCUGGGCUUCCGUAGGAGUACGAGAUUUUUGCCGGGCAUKUGUGAUACUGACUCGAUCGAACUGAAUGUGAAUUCUGCAUGAAGGUUUAAUCCUAAAUAAUCCCUUCAUCUUUUUUUUUGUUCUAAGGUGUUGUAAUAGAUGCCAACAUGAAUAUCAAUGUAAAGACAGAACCACUAACUGUCAGUGACGACUGGUUUGCUUACCAAACUGAUGCUGGAGUCACUCUCUUUUACUACAACCGUAGAACUGAAGAACACAUAUGGAAUGUCUGUACUUGUUCAUGCUUUCAAAUGGAUUGCGAGGUGUUCUGCCCGGGAAAUACGCACGCAAGGCCAUCACAA